rnacentral:rRNA from 1 species
UGGGGAAUCUUGCACAAUGGGGGCAACCCUGAUGCAGCGACGCCGCGUGAGCGAUGAAGCCCUUCGGGGCGUAAAGCUCUUUCGACCGGAACGAUAAUGACGGUACCGGGAGAAGAAGCUGCGGCUAACUACGUGCCAGCAGCCGCGGUAAUACGUAGGCAGCAAGCGUUGUUCGGAGUUACUGGGCGUAAAGAGUGCGUAGGCGGUUUUCUAAGUUCGGUGUGAAAUCUCCCGGCUUAACUGGGAGGGUGCGCCGAAGACUGGGAAGCUGGAGUGUGGGAAAGGCAGGCGGAAUUCCUGGUGUAGCGGUGAAAUGCGUAGAUAUCAGGAGGAACACCGGUGGUGUAGACGGCUCUCUGGACCGUAACUGACGCUGAGACACGAAAGCGUGGGUAGCAAACA